GCCUGGCUGGCUCAGUUGGUAGAGCAUGCAACUCUUAAUUCUCAGGCUUUUGAGUUCAAGCCUCACAUUAGGCA
rfam:Ailuropoda melanoleuca scaffold936_25, whole genome shotgun sequence.